rnacentral:rRNA from 1 species
UGGGGAAUAUUGGACAAUGGGCGAAAGCCUGAUCCAGCCAUGCCGCGUGUGUGAAGAAGGGCUUCGGAUUGUAAAGCACUUUAAGUUGGGAGGAAGGGCAGUAAGCGAAUACCUUGCUGUUUUGACGUUACCGACAGAAUAAGCACCGGCUAACUCUGUGCCAGCAGCCGCGGUAAUACAGAGGGUGCAAGCGUUAAUCGGAAUUACUGGGCGUAAAGCGCGCGUAGGUGGUUCGUUAAGUUGAAUGUGAAAGCCCCGGGCUCAACCUGGGAACUGCAUCCAAAACUGGCGAGCUAGAGUAGGGCAGAGGGUGGUGGAAUUUCCUGUGUAGCGGUGAAAUGCGUAGAUAUAGGAAGGAACACCAGUUGCGAAGGCGACCACCUGGGCUCAUACUGACACUGAGGUGCGAAAGCGUGGGGAGCAAACAGG